rnacentral:rRNA from 1 species
GCAAGUCGAACGAUGAAGCCUAGCUUGCUAGGCGGAUUAGUGGCGCACGGGUGAGUAAUAUAUAGAUAACGUGCCUCUUAGUCUGGGAUAGCCAUUGGAAACGAUGAUUAAUACCGGAUACUCCUUCUCAUUGUAAUUUGAGUCGGGAAAGUUUUUCGCUAAGAGAUCGGUCUAUAUCCCAUCAGUUAGUUGGUAGGGUAAUGGCCUACCAAGACAAUGACGGGUAGCGGGUUUGAGAGGAUGAUC